AGUCUAAAUAGAGGUGCGCCGAAGAAUAGUACAUCUUUUCGUCAUCUGCCGGGGGGCGGGAAAAGGAGGAAAGGCUAAAGCGCCGAAGCGGUUGUUGUUCCCCUCGAACAGCAGCGGCUGGGGUGGCUCAUGAACAAUGAUCAUCCUGUCACAAAAGACGAUUGUCUUCUUGUGGAGCGCUAUUUACGAU
rnacentral:ncRNA from 1 species